UACGGGGGGGGCAAGCGUUGUUCGGAAUUACUGGGCGUAAAGGGCUCGUAGGUGGCCAACUAAGUCAUGCGUGAAAUCCCUCGGCUUAACCGGGGAACUGCGUCUGAUACUGGAUGGCUUGAGUUUGGGAGAGGGAUGCGGAAUUCCAGGUGUAGCGGUGAAAUGCGUAGAUAUCGGGAGGAACACCAGUGGCGAAGGCGGUUGCCUGGAGCUUUGCUGACGCUGAUGCGCGAAAGCGUGGGGAGCGAUCCGG
rnacentral:rRNA from 1 species